rnacentral:rRNA from 1 species
GUCCACGCCCUAAACGAUGUCAACUAGUUGUCGGGAGAGGAGACUUUCUUGGUAACGCAGCUAACGCGUGAAGUUGACCGCCUGGGGAGUACGGUCGCAAGAUUAAAACUCAAAGGAAUUGACGGGGGCCCGCACAAGCGGUGGAUUAUGUGGAUUAAUUCGAUGCAACGCGAAAAACCUUACCUACCCUUGACAUGCCAGGAACUUGCCAGAGAUGGCUCGGUGCCCGAAAGGGAACCUGGACACAGGUGCUGCAUGGCUGUCGU